CAACGCCUGCCCAGUGAACAAUUAAACGGCCGCGGUACCCUAACCGUGCAAAGGUAGCAUAAUCAUUUGUCUAUUAACUGUAGACCUGUAUGAAAGGCAAAAUGAGGGUUUAACUGUCUCUUAUAGUAAAUCUAUUAAACUGAUCUCCCAGUAAAAAAGCUGGAAUACCACCAUAAGACCAGAAGACCCUGUGAAGCUUUAACAAAACUAUUAAAUCCAAUAAUAGCUACUUUAGGUUGGGGCGACCUUGGAAACAAAUAGAACUUCCAAACAAACACACUAACACAGGCUAACAUGCCAAUAAAUGACCCAGUAAAACUGAUAACUGAACAAAGUUACUCCAGGGAUAACAGCGCUAUCUUCUUCAAGAGCCCAUAUCAAAAAGAAGGUUUACGACCUCGAUGUUGGAUCAGGACAUCCUAAUGGUGCAACCGCUAUUAAGGGUUCGUUUGUUCAACGAUUAAUGUCCU
rnacentral:rRNA from 1 species